UACGUAGGGGGCGAGCGUUGUCCGGAAUUAUUGGGCGUAAAGAGCUUGUAGGCGGUUUGUCGCGUCUGCUGUGAAAUUUCGGGGCUCAACCCCGAACUUGCAGUGGGUACGGGCAGACUAGAGUGUGGUAGGGGAGACUGGAAUUCCUGGUGUAGCGGUGGAAAUGCGCAGAUAUCAGGAGGAACACCGAUGGCGAAGGCAGGUCUCUGGGCCAUAACUGACGCUGAGAAGCGAAAGCAUGGGGGAGCGAACAGG
rnacentral:rRNA from 1 species